rnacentral:rRNA from 1 species
CCUACGGGAGGCAGCAGUGGGGAAUAUUGCACAAUGGGGGAAACCCUGAUGCAGCAACGCCGCGUGAGUGAGGAAGUAUUUCGGUAUGUAAAGCCCUAUCAGCAGGGAAUAGAAAAGAAGGUACCUGAAACAGAAGCCCCGGCUAACUACGUGCCAGCAGCCGCGGUAAUACGGAGGAUGCGAGCUUUAUCCGGAUUUAUUGGGUUUAAAGGGUGCGUAGGCGGGCUUUUAAGUCAGCGGUAAAAAUUCGGGGCUCAACCCCGUCCGGCCGUUGAAACUGGGGGCCUUGAGUGGGCGAGAAGAAGGCGGAAUGCGUGGUGUAGCGGUGAAAUGCAUAGAUAUCACGCAGAACCCCGAUUGCGAAGGCAGCCUUCCGGCGCCCUACUGACGCUGAGGCACGAAAGUGCGGGGAUCGAACAGGAUUAGAUACCCCAGUAGUC